rnacentral:piRNA from 1 species
CAUGUGUUUUGCAAAAUUGUAUCUUGGGUGUU